ensembl:lncRNA
GAAGCAACAAAGAUAACAGAAAACAUAGUAAAUGCUCCUUCACCUUCUGAAGAAAAUAUCUCAACUGCUCCCUGAAUAGCCUAAUUUCCGGUGAACAGUAGGUGAAAGCCUCAGUGUUUUCUUAAGUAACUCUAAAGUUUGUAGCCUUUGAGAAAAGACUAGGCUGUCUGGGAACUGGGAACUGUAGAUUUUUACAAAUUGUCCUACAAUAGCUAUUACUACUUUCUUUUUUCAUUCAACUAACAAGUAUCCAUUUAAUUAUACAUAAUUUUGUUCUCAAUCCCUAUGUUUCAAAGGAUUUUAAGAAUAAUGAUAAAAGAGAAUGAAGUUGAGUCUUCAGCAGUCUGCCAUAGGUUCUGGGAGAGGUAGAAAAAGAGCAUAUUAUCGCAGGCAAACACAUCAUCUUCUCCAGACAUGGAGGUCCUGCCUUAGGAGAUGUUACCAUUGUCCAUUCAUCUUGACAUCUCCUUUCUUCACCUGACCUCAUCUCUUGCUUGGACCACUGAAGCAGAAGCAGGCAUCUAGCAGUUUCUCUGUUGCCACCAUCCUUCCUUUCCAUCCAUUCUACAAAAAGGAACCCAAGCGAUCAUCCCAAGGCCUACAAGGCCCUGUAUGAGCAACUUCUACCUGCCUUUUCAACUGCAAAGGUAUAAUUCCUGAAGUAUUUUUAAAAAUUUACAGUGAAUAUGUGUCAACCAUUUAUUUAACUAAUUAAUGAGGAAACCCAUGGGAUAACAAAAUUGAUUUAAAGAAAUAUGUAAGACACAAAUACAUUUAAAAGGAAUAGAAAACUAAAAGCAAAGAAAUCAGGAAUAAAAAUGAAAAGUUAUACUACACAGAAAUUUUAAAUGUGGCCUUUGGGAUUAUCUGCUCUACUAUCCAAAAACUAUUUUAUCCAUUUUCUACAAAUUAAUAUCUAACUCUACAAAGAUAUAAAAUGCCUGGGCUUUAAUUGAUGGUUAAUAAUAAGUGAGUAGCAGGGCGUCGUGGCUCACGUCUGUAAUCCCAGCACUUUGGGAGGCCAAGGUGGGCAGAUCACAAGGUCAGGGGUACAAGACCAGACUGGCCAACAUGGUGAAACCCUGUCUCUACUAAAAAAUACAAAAAUUAGCUGGGCAUGGUGGCUUGUGCCUGUAAUCCCAGCUAUUUGGGAGGCUGAGGUAGGAGAAUUGUUUCAACCGGGACCCGGUAGGCAGAGGUUGGAGUGAGCCAAGAUUGCACCACUGCAAUCCAGCCUGGGCUACAGAGUGAGACUCCAUCUCAAAAAAAAAAAAAAAAAAAAAAAAAUAUAUAUAUAUAUAUAUAUAAAUAUGUAUAUACACACACACACACAUUAUAUAUAUAUACAUUAUAUAUAUAUAUUUAUAAUGUAUAUGUGUGUGUGUAUAUAUAUAUAUAUAUAAAUAAUAAGUAACAGUCCCCCAAAACCAAAUGCUUCUUGGGCAGCUUGCUAGAUCAUGUCCUAGUCUUCUUUAUGCCUUGUAUUCUUAAUUAUCAAAUUCUACUCAUAGCAUUCUACCCUUUGGUCACCAGGGCUCUCACUACAUUGCUCUCUUUUCCAUUUCUUUAGGCUUCUAUUUUUACUAUUCCUUGUGCCUGAAAUGUUUGAUUAAUUUCUCAGAUCAAACCUCUUAGGUAGUCCUUCUCUCAAGAGGGAGAGGUGUAGCUAAAUCUCUCU